GGGAGAUCACCAAUAUGUAAGAGUAUUGUUAAGAAAAAAUAUUUAAUACUUAAUAUAUAGUGUAAAAGAAAUAUGUUUUAUGAAAAGUAGAAUUUUAUUUGACAUGAUUUUUGUUAGGAAACUGUAAACAGUUAUAAAAUAUGUUUUUUAGUAUAAAAAAUUGUAUCUUGUGCAUCGCACGGGUAAAAACACUAGUAUCUGUUUUAAAUUAGAACCGCCAGAUCUUGAUCAGACGGCUACCUAAGAGUGAAUGCGUGAAUGCAUUACAGGGAAUCGGGGUCCCUCACUUAGUCGUUGCAAAAACUUGCAAUCCAUUUGUAACAAACUUCAUAGAAUAAAGAAUCCAUAGCUAUACUCUUAUAUUCAGCACCAUUGUUUCUUGCUUCCCAACGUUUCAUGCUAUCUGGUUUUUUCGAUUCCAUAGCCAUCGUCGUUCUCAGGUUCUUUUGGUUGCUUUUGACGUGUGUGUUGCUGGUUAUAUUUUUCUUCAUAGCAUCUUACUCCUCUUCAUAUUACCAGGAAAUAUAUAAAGAGUAUGCACAAAUCAGCGCUCAGAAGCUAUGACUCAAAGAUUCUGGAUGACUACAUCAGAACAUGCUCUGGCAAGACAUCAUAAAAUGGUCAAGCAGAAUCAGAACAUGGACUAUGAAGCAUCAGAAGAACAUGAAGUCAAAAGCAGAAGCACUGAAGUUCUAAAUGGUAUCACGCUCAUGCUCUUCAAAGUCAGAAGAUAAGAAGAUGCUCUGCACCAAGCUGUUUUGACUCUGAUAAUUCAAACAUUGUAUCUACAAAUCUGAGUUCAGAAGCAAGUACAAGAU